rnacentral:rRNA from 1 species
ACUCCUACGGGAGGCAGCAGUGGGGAAUAUUGCACAAUGGGGGAAACCCGUAGCAUGCAGCCAUGCCGCGUGUGUGAAGAAGGCCUUCGGGUUGUAAAGCACUUUCAGCGAGGAGGAAAGGUUAGUAGUUAAUACCUGCUAGCUGUGACGUUACUCGCAGAAGAAGCACCGGCUAACUCCGUGCCAGCAGCCGCGGUAAUACGGAGGGUGCGAGCGUUAAUCGGAAUUACUGGGCGUAAAGCGUGCGCAGGCGGUUUGUUAAGCGAGAUGUGAAAGCCCGGCUC